CCUUCCAGCACCUGAGCCUGGCUAGUGCCUCGGGAGCCCAGGGCCAGAAGGGCAAGGGCAGCGGAGAUGCUGACUGGGGAAAAGAAAAUGUUCUUGCUGGGCUCUUGAGUGGUUGGUUGCUUGCCUGUAAAACUGAAAGGAAAAGUCUUUAAUGCUUGAGACUAUCCUUGGCAGGACUCAAGAGGAUCUCCCUCAUGGGAAUGCUGCUCCUGGGGAUCAGUUGCCAUAGGCUGGUCAGUGUGGUGAUCAGUCUGGGUGAGGCGGUGGACACUGAGGUGAAGCACGGCCACCAGAAAGCGCAGUGGGAGCAUGGCCUCCAUCAAUCUUCACAGAUACUGCGUGGACAAAGAGCAAAAGGUCUUGGAUGCUGGAGUUAGACUGAGAACAUGCUGGGAUGAUUUGUGGUGCCUAAGAUGCUUAACCAGUCAGAAAACAAAUUAUAGGGCUUCAGAUACACAUUACCUAGAAGCACGAAGCUGAAUGCUGAUGAAGCCAGUGUUCUUGGACCUAGUAUGCAUAUGUCCACAUCUCUUCACUCCAAACAGAACAAAGACCACAGGGCCCAGGCUGGUCAGCAGAGCAGAGUAUUACAUCCCAAAGGAAUACCAUCUGCAAACACCCACUGAAGAGGAGACAUCCAUGGCCAUGAGCUGUACUACCAGAUACACCUCCCUAGCCUAUUGCCAGCUAAUGAAACGAGUGCUGAAGCAUCUCCUGAAGUGUGUUAUGGCCUGUACUGGGGCUUUAGGAUUUUGAUCACGCAGCUUGGGCACCUGCUUCAACACGGUACUAAGAAAAGCAGAUCAGAAGAGGUACUUAAUAUAUAACUUGUUCGGUGUGUUUUUUCGGUUGUUGUUGUUGUUUGUUGUUGUUGUUGUUUGUUUACCCACAAAUGAACUUGGCAGCAGUUCAGAAACUAUUUUGUAUUCAGAGGCUUUCUUUGAGCCUUGGUUUGGUCAAAGAAGAAGAGGAACCCUGGGCAGUGGACUUGAGUGUGCAGCUGCAGCGCCAGCAGAAGCAGAAGGUAGCAGGAGGGAGAUAGUGCUGUCAAGAAUUAUAUGCAAGCAUUGGGGCUAAUUCUGGAUUCCCUUUAUGACUCUGAGGUGAACCAAAUCAUACUUCAGUACACUGAGAAAACUCUGACAGAGACACAAACACAAAUGUUUUGCUAUUCAGACAUUCGUCUGUAUUAGCUCAUGUUGAAAGCAUGGAUUGAUUUUUGAAACUCUUUCAAAAUCUGCUUCUCUUUGCUUCAGUUUUCCUCCUUGUCAUGAGGUGGUGGCUUGAAGCUGAGGUUCAUCAUCCUACCAGGGAGGUCAGCAGAGGUUCUCCAAGCCAGCAGCUGGUCCACCCCAGGGCCUGCUUCUGGAGACAGUAAUGCAUAAAGCACACCUACACUGCUACUUUGUUUUACACCUUCAUUCCUCUUAAAAAUGUGACUGUAUUCCUACUAUUUUAUUCAAAAUGCUUCUUUUAAAAGCUACAUCUUUCAUCAGCAAAUACUCAGCAUGCCUUGCCUGCAGCCCCAACCACGCCCUGCUGAAUGCAAUGCAAACCAUCACUCUAUAGAAACAUUUUCUCAGGCUAUUAUAAAACUCCCCUGUAAUUCUGGGCACUCUGAAGGAAGAGUAAUGGCACUGUCUCAAAGCAGAAAAAUGUCAGCCUUGGCUGAGGAAGGACCUGGAAAAAGUAUUUGCAGAGCAGUCACAGCCACCCCACUCCAGACCUGUAAUAUCCACCUGACAGAAUACAUAUCUGGUAUGGGUGUGAAACCCUCUCUACCGGCUGUCUUUGUGUCCUGUCCACAAAGACAGUACUUGCAUUACCAAAAUUCACCAUUGCUUACCCUGGCACUGGACCCCAGCUGAGAGUGACCAUGGGGGAGCUGAGGGGUGGUGGCUCUGGGGCAGUAGUCAGAGUUAGGUUGAAGAAUUUACAUAGGGUGUGUCUUGAAGGCAUAGGUGGUUGUAGUCAGAUUUUCUCUUUGAUUUCUAUUCUUGCAACAGGACUGAAAGGUCUGCCCAUCCCUGGCCUUCCAGUCAGGGAAGGAAGAUGGAUGCAUGGAAGGAAAGCCACACUGUUUUGUCAUGGUUUGCACAAGAACCUUUCCUGCAUUUGUUUUCACACAAAUAUUUUUCUUAGCUCUGUUAUCCCAUUUGACAGAACUCAUGCACUCAUUUAUACUGUAGAUGGAGAUUAAUGUCAGGAACUUUUUGCUUUAAUGAGGCUUUAAUAAUUUGCAUAAUUUGAGAGGUAAACAGAUCCUUUUCAAACAAUGAUAACAGAAGCUACAGAUGAUGGAUGGCAUUGUCAACUUAUCUGGGAGGAACAUAAAUCUACGAUUCACGUGUCAGUCAGACAUAAUAUAGCAGGAGUUCAGUUUCUGACUGCCAUUAAAAGCAUUACUUCAAGAUAAUGAAUUUUGUAUUUAAUAAUUUUAAAAUGUGUUCAAUAUUUUCUCUAGUUUUCUUUUAAUAUUUAUCUGUGUAAAAAUCUGUCUCAAUUAAAGAAGCACA